rnacentral:rRNA from 1 species
UACGUAGGGGGCAAGCGUUGUCCGGAAUUAUUGGGCGUAAAGAGCGUGUAGGCGGUCCGGUAAGUCCGCUGUGAAAGUCCAGGGCUCAACCCUGGGAUGCCGGUGGAUACUGUCGGGCUCGAGUCCGGAAGAGGCGAGUGGAAUUCCUGGUGUAGCGGUGAAAUGCGCAGAUAUCAGGAGGAACACCAAUGGCGAAGGCAGCUCGCUGGGACGUGACUGACGCUGAGACGCGAAAGCGUGGGGAGCAAACAGG